GUGAGGGAACGGCUCACCAGGGCAACGAUACGUAGGGGGACUGAGAGGUUAACCGCCCACAUUGGUACUGAGACACGGACCAAACUCAUACGGGAGGCAGCAGUGAGGAAUAUUGGUCAAUGGACGCAAGUCUGAACCAGCCAUGCCGCGUGCAGGAAGACGGCUCUAUGAGUUGUAAACUGCUUUUGUACUAGGGUAAACGCUCUUACGUGUAGGAGCCUGAAAGUAUAGUACGAAUAAGGAUCGGCUAACUCCGUGCCAGCAGCCGCGGUAAUACGGAGGAUCCAAGCGUUAUCCGGAUUUAUUGGGUUUAAAGGGUGCGUAGGCGGUUUGAUAAGUUAGAGGUGAAAUACCGGGGCUCAACUCCGGAACUGCCUCUAAUACUGUUGAACUAGAGAGUAGUUGCGGUAGGCGGAAUGUAUGGUGUAGCGGUGAAAUGCUUAGAGAUCAUACAGAACACCGAUUGCGAAGGCAGCUUACCAAACUAUAUCUGACGUUGAGGCACGAAAGCGUGGGGAGCAAACAGGAUUAGAUACCCUGGUAGUCCACGCAGUAAACGAUGAUAACUCGUUGUCGGCGAUACACAGUCGGUGACUAAGCGAAAGCGAUAAGUUAUCCACCUGGGGAGUACGUUCGCAAGAAUGAAACU
rnacentral:rRNA from 1 species